rnacentral:rRNA from 1 species
GGACCUGACUGCUAUCGGAUUAACACUAAGCCAUGCGAGUUUUUGUAGUAAUACAAGGCAUACGGCUCAGUAACACGUAGUCAACCUACCCUAUGGACGAGGAUAAUCUCGGGAAACUGAGCAUAAUACUCGAUAGAUCAUAAUGCCUGGAAUGGUUUAUGGUUGAAAUGAUUCGUUCGCCAUAGGAUGGGACUGCGGCCUAUCAGCUUGUUGGUGAGGUAAUGGCCCACCAAGGCGAUUACAGGUACGGGCUCUGAGAGGAGAAGCCCGGAGAUGGGUACUGAGACAAGGACCCAGGCCCUAUGGGGCGCAGCAGGCGAGAAAACUUUGCAAUGUGCGAAAGCACGACAAGGUUAGUCCGAGUGAUUUCUGCUAAAGAGAUCUUUUGCAAGUUCUAAAACCACUAGUGAAUAAGGGGUGGGCAAGUUCUGGUGU